rnacentral:tRNA from 1 species
GGGGAUUUAGCUCAGUGGUAGAGCGCUUGCCUAGCAAGCGCAAGGCCCUGGGUUCGAUCCCCAGCUUCG